rnacentral:rRNA from 1 species
GUCCACGCCCUAAACGAUGUCUACUAGUUGUCGGGUCUUAAUUGACUUGGUAACGCAGCUAACGCGUGAAGUAGACCGCCUGGGGAGUACGGUCGCAAGAUUAAAACUCAAAGGAAUUGACGGGGACCCGCACAAGCGGUGGAUGAUGUGGAUUAAUUCGAUGCAACGCGAAAACCUUACCUACCCUUGACAUGGCUGGAAUCCUUGAGAGAUUGAGGAGUGCUCGAAAGAGAACCAGUACACAGGUGCUGCAUGGCUGUCGU